rnacentral:rRNA from 1 species
UUAGAUACCCUGGUAGUNCACNCCGUNAACGAUNCAUANUAGGUNUUGGGGAUUNGAUUUNUUGGUGCCGAAGUUAACACAGUAAGUAUGCCGCCUGGGGAGUACGCUNGCAAGAGUGAAACUNAAAGGAAUUGACGGGGACCCGCACAAGCAGUGGAGUAUGUGGUUUAAUUUGAAGCAACGCGAAGAACCUUACCAGGUUUUGACAUCCCUAUGUANNCCCUAGAGAUAGGNGCCNNCUUNGGNNCANNGGAGACAGGUGGUGCAUGGUUGUUGUCAGCUNGUGUNGUGAGAUNUUGGGUUAAGUNCCGCAACGAGCGCNACCCUUGAUUUUANUUGCCANCAUGUUAUGGUGGGCACUCUAAGAUGACUGCCGGUGACAAACCGGAGGAAGGUGGGGAUGACGUCAAAUCAUCAUGCCCCUUAUGACCUGGGCUACACACGUACUACAAUGGUCGGUACAACGGGAAGCGAAGCCGCGAGGUGGAGCCAAUCCUUAAAAGCCGAUCUCAGUUCGGAUUGCAGGCUGCAACUCGCCUGCAUGAAGUCGGAAUUGCUAGUAAUCGCGGAUCAGCAUGCCGCGGUGAAUACGUUCCCGGGUNUUGUACACACCGCCCGUCACACCACGAGAGUUUACAACACCCGAAGUCGGUGGGNUAACCCGNCAAGGGAGCCAGCCGCCGAAGUGGGUAGUG